rnacentral:rRNA from 1 species
UACGAAGGGGGCUAGCGUUGCUCGGAAUUACUGGGCGUAAAGCGCACGUAGGCGGCUUCUUAAGUCGGUGGUGAAAUCCUGGAGCUCAACUCCAGAACUGCCUUCGAUACUGGGAAGCUCGAGUCCGGGAGAGGUGAGUGGAACUGCGAGUGUAGAGGUGAAAUUCGUAGAUAUUCGGAAGAACACCAGUGGCGAAGGCGGCUCACUGGACGACUGUUGACGCUGAGGUACGAAAGCGUGGGGAGCAAACAGG